UACGGAGGGAGCUAGCGUUGUUCGGAAUUACUGGGCGUAAAGCGCGCGUAGGCGGCUUUGUAAGUUAGAGGUGAAAGCCUGGAGCUUAACUCCAGAAUUGCCUUUAAGACUGCAUCGCUUGAAUCCGGGAGAGGUGAGUGGAAUUCCGAGUGUAGAGGUGAAAUUCGUAGAUAUUCGGAAGAACACCAGUGGCGAAGGCGGCUCACUGGACCGGUAUUGACGCUGAGGUGCGAAAGCGUGGGGAGCAAAC
rnacentral:rRNA from 1 species